rnacentral:lncRNA from 1 species
UUUUAUCUUUCCUGCUUGUGCUCAACGUUUGAACUCGACUCCGGAGAAAUUAGACCUUGACUUAUCUGUUGAGACUCCAUUAGGAGAAACUUUUAUUACAUCUACUGUUUAUAAAUCUUGUUUGAUUCAAGUUGGUACCAUCACAUUACCUGCCGAUCUUAUUUCGUUGAAAAUACUUGAAUUUGAUGUGAUUUUAAGGAUUGAUUGGUUAACCACUUAUGUGACGCCCCAAAAAUGGGUAUACAUCACCCAUCUUGAGUCGCCAAAUACAUGGUACAAAAUUCAAAUACAACUUAAUUAUACAACAGUCGCGUAAAAUACGACAAAACAUAAUCUAAGAGUUUUAAUAAGAAUAUUGUCAUCUAGACAAUAUCCACACUCAAUGGAGUCCUCAUUACAUUUAUUAUCACACUAUUUAACAGAAUAGUGAGGACUACUAAUGUUAUCA